CAGCUGCACAUCGCUUCGGCCAACGGCUACUUGGAAGCCGCGGAGCUCCUGAUAGAACACCGGGCCAGCCUGAGCGCCAGGGACGAGGAUGGAUGGCAGCCGCUCCACGCCGCCGCUUGCUGGGGCCAGGUGCCCUUGGUGGAGCUGCUGGUGGCCCAUGGAGCAGACCUCAACGGGAAGUCGGUGCUGGAGGAAAGCCCGCUAGAUGUGUGUGCGAAUGAAGACGUGCGGGCCAAACUCCUGGAGCUGAAGCACAAACAUGAGGCCAUCAGGAAGUCCCAGGACAAGCAGAAGUCACUGCUGCAGCGCCGGACAUCCAGCGCCGGCAGCCGAGGGAAAGUGGUGAGGCGGGUCAGCGUGACCCAGCGCAC